rnacentral:rRNA from 1 species
CCUACGGGAGGCACCAGUGGGAAAUAUUGCACAAUGGGCGCAAGCCUGAUGCAGCCAUGCCGCGUGUAUGAAGAAGGCCUUCGGGUUGUAAAGUACUUUCAGCGAGGAGGAAGGCAUUAAGGUUAAUAACCUUGAUGAUUGACGUUACUCGCAGAAGAAGCACCGGCUAACUCCGUGCCAGCAGUCGCGGUAAUACGGAGGGUGCAAGCGUUAAUCGGAAAUACUGGGCGUAAAGCGCACGCAGGCGGUCUGUCAAGUCGGAUGUGAAAUCCCCGGGCUCAACCUGGGAGCUGCAUUCGAAACUGGCAGGCUAGAGUCUUGUAGAGGGGGGUAGAAUUCCAGGUGUAGCGGUGAAAUGCGUAGAGAUCUGGAGGAAUACCGGUGGCGAAGGCGGCCCCCUGGACAAAGACUGACGCUCAGGUGCGAAAGCGUGGGGAGCAAACAGGAUUAGAUACCCGUGUAGUC